GCCUUGAGAUCGGAGUGCUUGCACUCUGUGAAACAAGAUACAGGCUAGCGGCGGACGGGUGAGUAACACGUGGGUAACCUGCCCAAGAGAUCGGGAUAACACCUGGAAACAGAUGCUAAUACCGGAUAACAACAGAUGAUGCCUAUCAACUGUUUAAAAGAUGGUUCUGCUAUCACUCUUGGAUGGACCUGCGGUGCAUUAGCUAGUUGGUAGGGUAACGGCCUACCAAGGCGAUGAUGCAUAGCCGAGUUGAGAGACUGAUCGGCCACAUUGGGACUGAGACACGGCCCAAACUCCUACGGGAGGCAGCAGUAGGGAAUCUUCCACAAUGGACGCAAGUCUGAUGGAGCAACGCCGCGUGAGUGAAGAAGGGUUUCGGCUCGUAAAGCUCUGUUGUUGGUGAAGAAGGACAGGGGUAGUAACUGACCUUUGUUUGACGGUAAUCAAUUAGAAAGACACGGCUAACUACGUGCCAGCAGCCGCGGUAAUACGUAGGUGGCAAGCGUUGUCCGGAUUUAUUGGGCGUAAAGCGAGUGCAGGCGGCUCGAUAAGUCUGAUGUGAAAGCCUUCGGCUCAACCGGAGAAUUGCAUCAGAAACUGUCGAGCUUGAGUACAGAAGAGGAGAGUGGAACUCCAUGUGUAGCGGUGAAAUGC
rnacentral:rRNA from 1 species